UGGCGAACUCCGGUCAGCUGACACAUCUCGGCCAAUCUCCAGCAGACCCUCCCUCCCAGACCCUCCUACUUCCUGGACAGCAUCCAUGCUGGGAGGGAGGGUCUGCUGGAGAUUGGCCGGGAUGUGUCAGCUGACCGG